AUCCUUUCAUAGUUCAUAUGAGUGCUGAUUGGGGUUUCAUGCUCUGGUGUGAGAUGUGCUUCCCUCAAGCCUUGUUAAGACAUGAGCAUGUUACCAUCUGAUA
ensembl:snoRNA